rnacentral:miRNA from 3 species
UCUCCAUUAAAUUGUCAUUG